GAGCGGUGAAGCUCCAGACUCCAAGGCCGCCAACCUCCAUGGCCACACCUCCGUGGCUCCGUCUCUCUCACCCGCCCUCCACCACCUCCCUCUUCCCUUCUCUCGUUGCCCAGUGCGCCCUCCGCACCCCGCCUGCACCGUCGGCAACGACCGCACCACCGCCAGCACCGCCGGUCUCCUGUUUCCUCCCGAACCCUAAUCCAACCACACCAGCAGCCUCCUUGGCCUGCGCUCUCCAGUGCCCGCAUUUCCAAUCGUGCUCAGGGUGCUCUCAUGAGCUGAAUCUCCACCGUCCGGUCAUCCUCGACGAAGUUACUGACUUCUUCAAGAGCCACGGGGUCUCAGAUUUCACCUUCGAUACUUGCAGACUGUGGGGAUGGAGAUGCCGUGCCAAACUUGCUGUCCGUGGCUCACCUAUCAGCCCAUUAAUCGGGCUCUAUCAAGAGGGUACUCACAAUGUAGUGGAUAUUCCUCAAUGUAAAGCUCAUCAUCCUAACAUCAAUGUCGCUGUGGAACUCUUGAAGCAAGGCAUUACUAAGUUGAAUAUUGAACCAUACAAUGAAGAUGAAGGAACUGGUGAAUUGCGUUAUGUUCAGAUGGCUGUAACAACUCACAACACAUCCCUUCCUGCAUCUGAAAGAUAUAGAAAUGGUAAGGUACAGGUAACUUUGGUAUGGAAUUCAAGGAGUGAAAACUCAGCUAGUGCAGAAAAAUUAAACAAUUUGGCCAAUUUCUUAUGGAGAAAUGGAGGUCGGAGCAGAAAGUUCCAUUUAAUUCACUCUGUGUGGGCCAACUUUCAGACAUCAGCUAACAAUGUUAUUUUUGGGAAUAGGUGGAGACAUCUGAUUGGAGAAAGAGAUUUUUGGGAACAUGUUGGUGGAAUUGAUGUUUCAAUAGCUCCAUCCAGUUUUGGACAAGCGAAUACCAGGGCUUUUAAUUCCUUGCUGCGGAAGAUGCAAGAGUAUGUCCCACAAGGUGCAUCAGUUGCUGAUUUGUAUGCAGGAGCUGGUGUGAUUGGUUUAUCACUAGUUGCUAUGAGAAAAUGCAGGUCUAUUAAAUGCAUUGAGAUUAACAAAGAGUCAAAACUAUCUUUUGAGAAGACGGUUGAACGCUUGCCUAAAUCCAUAGAUAGCAGCAUUAGCUGGCAUCAUGCAGACACUUCAAUUGAACCUCUUUCUUGGCUUGUGGGAUCUGAUGUAGUUGUGGUUGAUCCUCCUAGAAAGGGGAUGGACCCAUCUCUCGUUAGUGCAUUACAGACUCUAUCUUCAGUGGAACAUAAGGUCAGGUCAUCUGAAAGUUCUUGCUUAAAUGUCAAAGAUGAAAAGAGACCAUGGGUUCUGCGUGCAAGAGAAGCUUUAGUUCGUGUUGCAAGCAAAACAAACCAGAAGGAAAGCUAUUCAUUGCCUGAAACCCUCAUUUAUAUAAGCUGUGGGUGGGAAAGCUUCAAAGAGGAUUGCAAGUCACUGCUGUCUAGUAAGGCAUGGCAUUUGGAUAAAGCCCAUGGCUUUAAUUUCUUUCCAGGCACUCAAAGCAUUGAGGUUUUGGCAGUAUUCAAGAGAGGCCCCGGAGUAAGGCUCAAGAAAAAGAAAUUGCGAAAAAGGAAGAAAAAGCCACAAUAAGGAAGCAUUUUACUCAUUGAUGCAGAAUGGAAGUUUAGUGAGAACCAAAUGGGACUCAACAGCUGGUUGUUUGAGGGCAUGAACAAAGAAGCCCAUAUUUGGGUUCAUUCAAGUUAGAUAGAAACUAUUGGAAAGAUGAGGAAAGGCACUCAAGAUGUUGCGGGCCCUCAAAUCUUGCCUGGUCAAUAUCCCCACCACUGGAAAAACCUACAAAAUUGAGCAUGCCAACAAGUUAAGUGACACUUGCCCUGUAAAAACUCUUAAUUUCUCACAAAAAUGCCCAUUUUAAUUAUCAUUCAUGCAAAAUUAAUGUUUCAUCAUACCCAAUUUUACUCUCCAUAUAACAAUUUCAUAAAUAUUGAAUUAUCUGAUCAUUAAAAAUUUUAAUUUUCUAAUGUAACAUUCUAGAAACAUCUAUAGUUAUCUUGUUAUGACAGCAUAAAGGUGAAGUGAAUGAGCAUGCUAUAAGUUGGAUAACUUACCCCAGCUGCUCCAUACUGAGGCAUGAUGAGCAGGUGGCGGAGUGCAGCCUGCCUGAAAAGCACCAUUGCCUUUGCGACGGACAUGCUCUCUGGCACUGUGUAAGGGGUGGUAUUGGUGAGAGGAUGCAAAUCAACAUACAUUUCCAUUUCAUCCUUUGUCACAGCCACUUCCUCAAUAUUUGUCUCCCUUUCAGCCAGAUCAACCCAGGUAAAUUUCUCUCUCACUUCCCACUCCUCUGUUCUCCUUCUUUCUUGCAGGAACCACUUCUUCUUAAGCACUGCAACAAGGUGAGCUCUGAGGACCAGGCCAUGCAGUUCUGCUGCACUAGUGACGAUCCCCAUAGAUGGCACCACCCUUUCAUCUAUAACAGGGAAACCAUUAUGUGUAGUAUUUUGCAGUACAUCCACAAUACGAGCCACCUUUUCCACUCCAUGAAGUGUAACUACAGCUGGCUUGGCAUCAGCAAGCUCACCGACCGUGAUAUUUCUCAUCCAUGGCUCUGGAUGUGCAUCCAAGAAAGGCAGGCCUUUAAGCUCUAGUAUAAUCUCAUAGAUGCUUGCGUUGAAGCAGUCUCCAACAGAUUUGGCAAUUAAAAGUACAAACAUUGUUAUGGGUAGUAAGAGAAGGUUGUUGGUGAGCUCGAGGAAUAUGACACAAAGAGAAACAGUCAUUCUCAUAGAGCCGGCCAUGAGUGAGGCUGCACCUAGAACUGCGUAAAGCCCCUGGUCAAUGUUUGUGUAGCUUCCCAUGGAAACACCAAGCAAACGACCGUAAGCAGAGCCCAUAAGUAUGAUAGGGAGGAAGAGUCCAGAUGGGACGGCAAUGCCAAAGGUGAAGAGUCCCAAUACACAAUAGAGUGUGAAGUAGAUUAAGAGGGAGAAAGGGUGGAAUUCAGUGGCACUGUUUGUGGAGAAGAUGUUUCGAACAGCAUCAUCGUUGGUGGAAAAAAGGAGAGUAGCUAGGUCAUUGUAAUAGCCAUCUGGGCAGUUGAAUUGUUUGAAGUUGCCAGUCUGUCCAUUGGUGGGGCAGGCAGACUCAGCAAGGGAUGAAUCACAGGGUGUGCAAGUGGCAAGAAAUGGGAGGCCAUACAGGCAAAGUGAGGUGAAUAGCGAGACAGUGAGACUCAGAAGCAGCUUGUGUAUUCUUCCCUUCCUGUAACAAAAACGAGUAAUUUGAAGCUGAGCAAUUGAGACUUCAUGCUUAUCAUUCCUAAGUGUUACUAAUUCUGGGUACAUGUUGGCAUUGUUCUUUGUUGAUCUCUGACUUGCUUCUAUGUUUAGCUGUCUGAGGCUACGGUGAACUUUCUCAUUCCCUUUCCAGGGCUUGUGAUGAAGUUAAUAAAGUGAAUCAAGAUUUUUGUGGAAUUAGAUUGCUUACUCGUUAAUGAGACUGUAGAGUCGGAGGACCUUGUGGAGAGUGUAGUUGUAAAGGCUUCCCAGUACUCCUCCAAGCACUCCAAUAACUGUCACAGGGACAAUAUCAGUCACAUGGUACCGUACAGUGACAUUACUCACAUCAAACAUGAUGAGCCCUCCUGUUCCAAAGAGCCCACAUUUCCCAGAAUUGCAGUAUUGCAUGAAGGCCCUGAGCACCACAACCACGACUGCUGUGCUGAAAAAGGUUCUCCACAGGAGUGCACUCCUCCACCACGUUGCAACCUCUUCAAGAGCAAACAGGAUGCCGCCCACUGGGGCACGGAAAGCUGCACAAACCCCUGAGGAAGCACCACAAGUGAUGAGAUCCCGGCGGUCACGAUCAUUGUUGAAGUAACGAAGCCAGCGCCAUUUGAGACGGUAAUUGUCAGGACCCCCUUGGCCUAGUAAGGAAGCAAUGCAGCUACCAAUGUGUACCAAAGGGCCUUCUUUUCCUAGAUCCAGGCCUGCAGAGACAGCUCCAAUGCUCCCAGUGAUCUACAAUUACCGAGAGAUUUCAAUGCUCUUUAGCCAUUAGCCAAUGAGCACAUUUGAAGUAUUCUUUAUCACAUGCCCAAUGUGUUUUAAGUCGAUGAAAAUUGUGUGACCUGUUCUGUCUGAUUUCUGUGCUAACUAGUCCAAUUCCAAAAAUGGUAAUUUAGGAUGUCUACAUAUGAUAUUGGUACAUAAUUAGUUGUUCUCUUUUCCUAUUUAGCACUUCUAAUUGCUUUUCCUUUCUUUUCCUUUUCUCAAUAAAAUAUAAACUUGAAAGUGGUAGCUUUUCUU